rnacentral:miRNA from 1 species
AAUACACAUGGGUUGAGGAGG